rnacentral:rRNA from 1 species
GACGAACGCUGGCGGCGUGCUUAACACAUGCAAGUCGAGCGGUAAGGCCCUUUCGGGGGUACACGAGCGGCGAACGGGUGAGUAACACGUGGGUGACCUGCCCUCAGCUCUGGGAUAAGCCUGGGAAACCGGGUCUAAUACCGGAUAUGACUCCAUGACGCAUGUUGUGGGGUGGAAUGCCUUGUGCGGCUGAGGAUGGGCCCGCGGCCUAUCAGCUUGUUGGUGGGGUGAGGCCUACCAAGGCGACGACGGGUAGCCGGCCUGAGAGGGCGACCGGCCACACUGGGACUGAGACACGGCCCAGACUCCUACGGGAGGCAGCAGUGGGGAAUCUUGCG